GAUGAACGCUAGCGGCAGGCCUAACACAUGCAAGUCGAGGGGUAGAAUUAGCUUGCUAAUUUGAGACCGGCGCACGGGUGCGUAACGCGUAUGCAAUCUGCCUUGUACUGAGGGAUAGCCCAGAGAAAUUUGGAUUAAUACCUCAUAGCAUUAUGAAAUCGCAUGGUUUUAUAAUUAAAGUUCCAACGGUACAAGAUGAGCAUGCGUCCCAUUAGUUAGUUGGUAAGGUAACGGCUUACCAAGACGAUGAUGGGUAGGGGUCCUGAGAGGGAGAUCCCCCACACUGGUACUGAGACACGGACCAGACUCCUACGGGAGGCAGCAGUGAGGAAUAUUGGUCAAUGGACGCAAGUCUGAACCAGCCAUGCCGCGUGCAGGAUGAAGCAUCUAUGGUGUGUAAACUGCUUUUGUACGGGAAGAAACACUCCUACGUGUAGGAACUUGACGGUACCGUAAGAAUAAGGAUCGGCUAACUCCGUGCCAGCCGCCGCAGUAAGAC
rnacentral:rRNA from 1 species